rnacentral:rRNA from 1 species
UACGUAGGGGGCUAGCGUUGUCCGGAAUCAUUGGGCGUAAAGCGCGCGUAGGCGGCCCGGUAAGUCCGCUCUGAAAGUCCAGGGCUCAACCCUGGAAAGCGGGUGGAUACUGCCGGGCUAGAAUCCGGAAGAGGCGAGUGGAAUUCCUGGUGUAGCGGUGAAAUGCGCAGAUAUCAGGAGGAACACCGGUGGCGAAGGCGGUGAUCUGGGCCGGCACUGACGCUGAGGAGCGAAAGCGUGGGUAGCAAACAGG